AAACAAAUCAGCUGAGUUGGAGUGCUAGUAUUCUGAACGACAGAUCAGACGCAUGUGAAAGAGAUGCAUAUUAAAUUAAUUGAAUCAGGACAAAUAUACCAAAUAUACGAGCGCCUUGACUUGCGUGGAGUUUUCGUCACAAGCCUUGAAUCACCACCACCACCAUCUCUUAUCAAUCCCUCUGUCCGUCUCUCUCCACCUUUAUCUCUUCCUUCCUCUCUCUCUUUCCUGAAGGUUGCUCACAGGCUUGUUAUGAAAACUCCUUUGCUCAAACACUGUGAAUGACUUUUAUAGCUAUGAGAUCUGAGGGCAUCAGGAAAUCAACUGCUAUGGGACAAGAGGUUAUUAUGAGCAAAGACUGGGUAUUUGAGCUAAAGAACCGAAGAGGAAGAUGUGAUUGUAUCAGUUCUGCAAGGAUUUCACAUUGCAAUUGCAGAUAAUAAGGGGAUGUAUAAGGUGUCAUCGAGCUAAAGUUAUGAGCUUAUGGCAGCAGGACCAUCAAAAGAAAGAUUGUACUCGUGUUUGCAUUGGUAGUGUUUAAGAAAGUCCACUUGCUUUUCUAUUAAUUAACCAUAAAACAAACAUGCAAAUGUGAUGUUUGGCUGGUAAGCAAGGGCUCAAAAAUAAACGUGUGAUCUAGGGCCUUGUGUUUGAUG